GCUCUUCCAUUCAGCGGCGGACGGGUGAGUAAUACCUAGGAAUCUGCCUGGUAGUGGGGGACAACGUUUCGAAAGGAACGCUAAUACCGCAUACGUCCUACGGGAGAAAGCAGGGGACCUUCGGGCCUUGCGCUAUCAGAUGAGCCUAGGUCGGAUUAGCUAGUUGGUGAGGUAAUGGCUCACCAAGGCUACGAUCCGUAACUGGUCUGAGAGGAUGAUCAGUCACACUGGAACUGAGACACGGUCCAGACUCCUACGGGAGGCAGCAGUGGGGAAUAUUGGACAAUGGGCGAAAGCCUGAUCCAGCCAUGCCGCGUGUGUGAAGAAGGUCUUCGGAUUGUAAAGCACUUUAAGUUGGGAGGAAGG
rnacentral:rRNA from 1 species